ensembl:lncRNA
UUAUGGGUUGUUUGGGAACAGAUCUUUAUAGACACUGAGCUAGGAUCGGAAUGUCUUAGGAAGAUUCACUCAAGAAUAUAAAACCACCAAGCGCAGAGUCACCACUUGUGUUAUGCAUUUGAUUAAAUAUGCUAGUUGUUUUCAAUGACUCUGCUGUAUUUUUAACACAAAAACAAGGACCAGAAAGUCAAUAUUCCUAUGGCAUUUAUCUGGCACUUACUGUAUUACAAUAGCAAAGGCUGACUGAUGGCUUUGGGAUUCUCAAUGAGUGCUUGGGGAGGAUGAGAAGGGAGAUACAGGGGAUGACAGCGCGUUACUGCAGACGUGUACUAAACCCUGCCAUGUUGAACAGGCCUGUAGAUUAAAUUUUAACAUACUGUCUCCCACAUUAGGUUUGGGUGGAUGGUUGAGUCUGAGUGAUAUAAUCUGCUGCGUUAGAAAGCCUCUCAUGAACGGAGUGGUGGUUUUAAUUAAAUCCAGUAGGUUGAGAAGAGUGGUUUGGCAGUUUCAAUUGAUUUAUUGUGUUUGAGACAUCUGGGCCUGAUAUAUUGUAUUGACGUGCAGAAUUGUUUUUGGACACUUACCCUACAUAUUUUCAUUCUGGUUUUGGGGACUCAUGGCCUAUAAAUAUGUACCAUUUUCAUUCUACUGUGAUUUAAGAUUUCUCUUUGUAUUUUUCUUAUUUUGGUAGGAUAGUAAACUGUUGAAUUCAUCUUGUUAAAAAUGCGAUUGUUUGAAAGCAUGAGAUUUUGUGGGUUUGUGUGCACAAACAGGGCUGCUUCAAAAGUAGUCCUAGGUUGAAGUUCAUUAUCAUCCCACCUAAGUUUGUGGGGAAAGAGAGCCAUAGUUGUUUGUUUUUUUAACUUAGUCUAUAAAUUGCCAAACUGUUUGCUCCAUGUUAUGGCUUCCUAAAUUUUAAAGUUUUGAUUUUAGAUAUAGAAAUGAACACCAUGUGAUAAGAAGUUUGUUUCCAAUUAUCUUAAAGUAGUACGCAUAUUCAGCUGGAUAUUAUAGACAAGUGUCCCCCAACCCAAAUUUUACUGUAGGCAAGUUAAUUUUAAAAAGUCUCCACUUCAAAGCAUGUGUGAAAAGGAAGAGAAGGGAGGAGGAAGAAGGAGGUGGAAGAAGGGAGGGGAGAGAAGAGUCAAGCUGCAAUUUCUUCUGAAGUGAGAGGGCAAAGAAGCAGGCAGGUUCCCACCAGCCUACGUGAUUCUCAAGUCUACGACUGAGUGGUUGCACAUCCCAGUGACAGACACCAUGAUGAUGUGUCAGGUUCCCAGCCUCAGAGCUCUCUUUCCUACAGCUGUGGCCACUUGGCCCCUACCUGAACCCCCGGCCGGGGUUCUGGAACGAAUCAGGGAAAAUUUAAGGAAGUCUGGGUAAAUCUCUCAGGCCAAUCAACUCAGAUCAGCCUGUGGCUUAGCUCACUUUGAACUUCUGCCUCAGUAUUAGGGGCUACGUUCUGCCAUUGUUCUUUGUAGUCAGCCUUGAAGUGAUGUUUAAUCCACUUAGAAUGACUUCCUAUUUUUUGUUUUUGUGCCCACUUCUCUAUCUUGGUAGACCAUCUUGUUAGUUCUUGUAGAUUCCUUUCCUGAAAUUCCCAGAGUACAGCUUUGAGCCCAAAGUUGGGACGUACCUGACACUAACCAUCUAUUGUCUGUGGCAGACUCCACUGAUGACCACCUACCAUCCAGAUGUUUCUCUGUGGGCUACAGCUCUAUCUGCCAACUAAAUGUAGUCUGCCCUGUUAAACUAGGCUCACUCUCAUAUAGGUGAUUGUACAUCUUAAUACACAGCAUGAUCCACUAUCUUCCCUUUAAAACCCUGAUUUUUUCCCUUGUUUCCUUUUGUGAGAUUAUCAGUUUAAAUAGGAAAGGAUUGCUCACCACCACUCUACAUAGCUAUAUAGGGUUGAUUUGAAAACUUUUAUUUUAUUCUCCACGGUACCUGAGCUACUUCAGAUAAUUCAUGAACUUAUUUGGUUUUCUGGAGGCUGUUUAGUGGAAUUCUCCAAAUUGGAUGAAAUAGGAUAUCUGAAAGGAAACUCACUCACAGGAGGCACUUACUGAACAUCCACCUAUAUUUAAAACAUAAACAGGCAUGGAUUUUAGCCCAGCAUAAAAUCUGUUUGGAAAAAUCGCAUUCAUAACAAAUUCAAGCAGGAAAUAAUGCCAAAUUACUUUUUUUACAAACAGCUUUAUUGAGAGAUAAUUUGCAUACACUUAAAUUCACCAUUUUAAUUGUACAAAUCAAAGAUUUUUAGUAGUUUUACAAAAUUGUGCAGACUUCACCAAAAUCCAAGUUCAGAAUGUUUUCAUCACCCCAAAAUAACCUAGUCUUAAAGAGAGAAUUAGUUAUGAUUUUGUAAGUAAAUUAUCUUAAAUUAAGUUAAUCAUAGGAUGAUAUUCUAUACAUAAUUUAAGAAGAAAGUAUGGAGAAUGUUACACGUUUAGAAACAGCAUAUUGAAGUGCUCUCCCAAGUGGCUAAUUCAGAUGAUCUGGUUGACCUGAUCUGGGGAUCAGACUCUGCAAUGCAGCCUGCCCUUCAUAUGGAAAAAAUUCUGAGAGAAUUUUGAAAAUAGCUCAUUCUGAAGUACAAUAAGUAUAUGUGGGCAAAAGUAUAUCACAUGUUAGAAAGAACUGUGGCUUCUGUGCUAAGUUCAGAUGAGGAGGGAUUUCCUCAUUAUUGAACGUCAUCAAUCAGAUUUACCUGUGCUGCGGGCUCACUGCACAGACCUGCAAGAUCCUGUGCCUGAAAGGGAAACACCAAGAUUUCCGGAGCCACGUUUCCUGAUAGACUGUAAAGAGCUGGCCUUGAAAGUGCAGCAUAAAGAGAAGCUGGAAGAGUGUUCUCAGCAGUCGCUGCUGAGAUGCUAGUCAGCACACUGUUUUAUGGAUUUCAAAUAAAUGUAGCAGUUGACAGAUUUCUGAAGAACUGUGAAGGAAAUCCAUCUCUCUGAUGUUGCCAAACCAUUCAGGCCUCCAUCAAUGAGAUUGCAGAGGCCUUCAAGGUUCACAAUAUUCACCAAGACAUCUAUGGAAAUACGCUAUUGCUUUCCUACGAUGCAAAUACAGAUCACACAAGAAGGAAAAGUUCCAUGUAUUUCUCACCACUAAAUGAAGCCGUUAAUAUAUGUCUUAACUCCAUGAACUAUGCAGCUUCCAAAACAACCAAGAAAAGGAGCCAACAAGUAGGAUUCGUUAUGUAAGUUCAUGAACUUUCUCCACUGGAAGGGGUUUUGGAAUUAAUUCAGCAAAGCCCCUUGUUUUAGAAUUAAGGUAAGUGAAGAUCAGAAAAUUUAAGUGACUCAAGAUUGCACAGCUCGUUAGAGGCAGAGCCAGGACAAAAGCUCAGGACUCCUGACUUCAGUCUAACCCACUAUACCAAUAAUUAGUUGCUAAGACAAUUUUGUAUUCCUAAGAUGUCUUUAGGUAUUAAAAGUCAACUACAAGAAGUGUAUAUUUCCCUAGACCAUGCAUUCUCAACAAGGGCUAUAUCACCCCCAGAGGCAUGAACAUGGGUUCUUGCGGAUCAAAAAAAUCUUAUAUGAGGGACCAGCCCAGUGGUGCAGUGAUUAAGUUUGCAUGCUCCUCUUCGGCGGCCUGGGGUUCACGGGUUCAGAUCCCGGGCACGGACUGACACACCACUCAUCAAGCUAUGCUGUGGUGGUGACCCAUAUACAAAAUAAAGGAAGAUUGGCACAGAUGUUAGUUCAGCAACAAUCUUCCUCAAGCAAAAAUAGGAAGACUGGCAACAGAUGUUAGCUCAGGAUCAAUCUGCCUCACCAAAAAACAAAAAAAGCCCCUUAAAUGUUAGAUAUUACAAUUGUCACAAUUGUUUGUAGUCUUCCUAAGGGCCACAGUAUCUAAUCAGAUAUGCAACUUGUCUAUGGCAUCCAAGUUUCAGGGUGAGGGAGCUGUGAGGUGGGAGAAGGAAGGGUUAGGAAAAGAACGUCUAGAAAAGUUCUUUCGGGGCAACAACUGUUAAAAAGUUGAGAAAGACUGCCCUGGACCAAAGUCCACGGUCAGGAUCUUAGGGAACUUGCCAAAACGUUGGCUGAGUACAAGUGCUGGAGGCUCAAUUCGUUUUUAGAGUUAAACCAGUAAGCUGGGAUCCAGAAGCAUGCUUUGCUGUUCUCAUCCAGUUUUGGUGACCUAUUAUGAAGCAUAAAAAUCUGCUUUUUAUAGUGCCAAACUCAGCUCUUCGUCAUCGUAUAACUAGAGGAUAAAUAAGAUGGAAGUUACACUGCGUGCUCAAUAUUAUUAGCAAGGUAAGUAUAGGGUGCUGUGGGAAUUCAAGAAAAGUGCUGAGUGUAAAGGAAAAUACUGAGAAAGUGCUCAGGAUCUAAACCCUACUUCUGUCCCUUAACACUUAUCAGAAAGUUUUUCUACUGAGGUUGUCCAAGUUUCUAUUUCGUCAACUAUAAAUUUAGAGUUAUCUGCCUCACAUGAUUUGCGGAGAAAUAAAAGUAAUAAUAUAUGUACAGCAAUAAACCUGAAAUAUAGUAGUCACCAAAUAAAUAACAUGUAUCAUUAUUAUUAUUACUUGUUAAGACCUUCAGAAGCCAUUAGACCUAGACUGGUUCUAUGUCAAUUUAUUCAGUAGGCAAUUUGUUCUUGGAGUCUUUCUUAUCUCCUCUUUUGAAAAACUCCCCCCUUUGUUUUUGCCCCUUCCCACUUUCGUUCUUCUUGCACUCUUGACACCCCCUAUCUCUGCCUUUGGCUCCCUCGUGCUCUCUUAGCUGAGAUCCAGUUCUGCCUGCAUGGGGAUACCUCGGCCAAACUCAGCUGUUAUGAUUCUGCAUGAGCAUCACCAUCACCUUUUAUUUCUACCCUCCCAUCCCCAAAAGGAUAGAGAUAGCUCACUGAUUUAUGUCUGCCCCAUAAGACCCUUAACUCCUUGAGGGCAGAGAUUCAUUUAUUCAACUUUUCCAGCCAUUAUUCUACAGCUGUAAACAGAAAAAACAGAAUCCUGCACUUAUGGAAUCUGUAUUCCCUUAGGGUAGAAAGACAGUAUGUAAACAAGUGAGCCAUAGUGUUUACUAGUGGUAAAUGCUAAGGAGAAAAAUAAAGUAAUGAAGAGGGAUAGUAAGUACAGGAAGGAGUAUAAUUUUAGUAAGGUGGCCAACUGAAGUUCCCCCCAAAAAAUGGCAUUUGAGAAUAAGAUCAGAAAGAAGUAAGGGGUUUUGUCAUGGAGAUAUUUAGGGGAAGAAUCCUAUCCUGAGAGCUGAGAGGUGCAUUUCCACGGCUGCCACAGGCCCAGGCAUGUAGGGCCACAUAGACCCUGGCUUUUACUCUGAGAGAAAUAGAAUCAUGUCUUAUGCUUCUUAAUACUGCAAGUAUUGGGCUCAGUGCCUAAAACAUGCUAGGCAUUGAGUAAAUGACUGAUGACUGUAUCAACUCAUUCAACACCACAUGUACACACUUACACCAAUUAAAUGAUAGACAAAGACUGGCUUUGUGAUGUCCAAUUUAGAUGGGUACCAUCUAGGAUAAACCUGAAAACACAGAAUCCACUGCAGACAAUAUAAUUUGAAGAAAUCAUAGCAAAAUAUAUGGCUUUAUACCUGUCAGUUCUGUGCAAAUAGACAAUAACUACAGAUUUGGUGAGGAAGCUGGGGAGAGGAGUAGGCAGGGUAAAGUGGAAAAAGUAUUAGGAGGACCCUCAGACAAUUGGAUAGCAACUAGAGUUGGCAGACUUAGCAAAUAAAUAAAUAAUUCUGGACUCCCAGGUAAGUUUGUAUUUCAGAUAAAUAAUGAAUAAUUUUCUAGCAUAAGUAUGUCCCAUUAAUAUUUAACUGGGUGUUCAGUUUUUUUGGGGUUUUUUUGUUUUUUGUUUUUUGUUUUUGGAGAAGGAGAUUGGCCCUGAGCUAACGUUUGUUGCCGGUCUUCCUCUAUUUUGUACAUGGGAUGCCACCACAGCAUGGCUUGAUGGUAUGCAGGUCCGCACCUGGGAUCCAAACCUGUGAACCCUGGACCGCAGAAGCAGAGCUCGUGAACCUAACCACUAUGUCUCCAGGCUGACCCCAGGGUGUUCAGUAUUUUAUCUGGAAAGCCUACCUCCAACAGACAAGUGUUAAGUGGAACCCCCACGUCAAGACUGAAUUCUCAACAUGGCCUGACUGCUGUGAGUUCUCAUCCAGCAGUUUGGUUGAAAUGAUACAUGGAAUGUGAGUCAAAAUAAUGGAACUUCUAGGUACAAUUUUUGUUGUAUAUAUUUUACAUUGCAUACAAUAUAUUAGUGUAGUAGCAUAUCUACAUAUGUAGUUUAUAUAUAAUUUACAAAUAAACACUUAUUGGAACUGAACUGUCAAACAUUUAUUCCUGAUAGGGGAGAGGAAUCAAAAAGAGUUAUCAAUAGAUGAGCAGCAUUGCGACAAAGAGCUUCUAUUCCUUUUCCCUUUAACAACAAAGAAAAGAUAUUCAAAUCAGGAAAAUCCUUAUAUGCUUGGUAAAAAUGUCACUAAGCUAUUUAGUUUGGGGAAUUUGUGAAAUUAACCAGAUGUGCUGAAAUAUACUUUCUUGUUGCAAAAUAGCUGGUAAUCCACUAGGAUAAAUCGCUGUGAGGUAAUCACAUUCGAACAAUUCAUUUGGUGCAUUCUUCUUCUUACUUAGGGAAAAAAAGAAAUUUGCUUGGACUUGAUCCUUGCACUUCACAGGAUCAGUCAUACUUUGUUGAUUUGUUCCAACAAUUGCCCGCCCAUUAAAUUUGAAAAGAUAAAAAGUGGAAAAAAUAUAAGAAGCCACAAAACACCCCUUCUCUGUGGAGUGACAGCAUUGUAAUACCACAGAAUCUAGAGACAGAUGGUGGCUUAUAGCAGACAUCAAUCUUCAAUGAGAGUAAAUUUCGGAUAAUGCCCCUCUUUGGUAAUGGACAUGUCUUUGCAAAGUUAUUGCUGACAGCAUCCUCUAACGUGCUGAUUUGCUAAGACAAGGUUUUUAUUGCAUCUAAUCUUGUCGUGAGGCAUGAAAAGAGUGGCUGGGUACAUGUUUUUCAUGUAUAGUUUUUACAAGAAUUGCCUGCAUUAGAGAGUGGCUAAAUUGUUUUCCAUAUUUUAUGGCACAUUUCAAAUGUUCCGCCACACACAACAUUGAUCACUCAGUCCAUUAGCUUAUUAUGAUAUCCUGAAAGGAGACACUUCCCUUGGGAAAAGCCAUAAUUUGAAAUGAGAUGAAGGCUCUGACUCCCUAGGACAGAGUGGGGUGGGAUCUACUGAGCAACUGCUUAAUUUCCUCAAGGGAAAUAGCCAGUUAAAUAUAUAUAGAAAUGUAAAUACACACAUAUAUUUUUCAAAAUGUCUGACCUAUUCAAAUCUACUUUGUCUUCUGAGGGACUUGGACACUUUCCAGCAGCUCAAACUGGCUUCAGUAAGGAUGGGGCAGCUUUUACAAUACAAAACUUUUUCAUAAUUAUGGGAAAUACUCAUGGCAUUAUCAGGGUUCUAAUAGAAAAAAUAGAGGGACUUUAAUAUAGGGGUUUGUUAACACAGGUUGUAGAAGAGCUGAAAAAACGCACAAGACCAUGGAGCAUCCCAGAGAUCAGCAACAACAGAAAGUGCCACCACCACCAGGUGGUUCUGACGGAUCCAGGGCCAUUCACUGGGGCUAGACCCAUUCUGGGGUUGUCUUUGGGAGCUGGGCCCAUGAAAGGAAGAGUUUUCCAAUGGACCUGGAAUCACCGUGGAGGAAAUGUAACUGAAUGGGAAAAUGGUGGAUGCCCCAUUGCAUUCUGCACUUCGUCUGUGUCAGAAUCUUAUGCUAGGUGCUUCCGCGUGUUUCACUUCAUCUUCAGAGUGGCCUAAAAGAGGAAUUCAUAUCUCUUGUGGGGAUAUAAGCUUUGAUAUCUUUAUCUACCUCUGAAAACCCCAAAUGAUGUCCUCCCUGUAGGACGUCCUUUGCAUCUGCUGUUGAGAUAUAAAAUCCUAGGGGAAGGGACUGAUGAAGAUCUGUUCAAUGGAAAGGAGCAAGCAGUGGCCACUUUAAGACCCCUGGGUCCUAGGUAAGUCAUGGCACCACAGAAGAGUCCAUCAUGUUUGCUUGGAUUACAUUUGAGGCCUGGGGCAGGGUCUUUUGUCUUCUCUUGUUAUAAGCAAGCAACUAGUGACAUGAGCCCAGCACUGGAGAAACUAGGGCCUAACAGAGUUCACAAACAUCGAAUCUAAUACCAGCCACUUCUACCAUGAAGAACUCCAGGACAACGAGCUUAUCCUGUCUUGGGGCCCAGGAUGGAGAAUGGGAGAGUUUUUAUAAUUUUCAUUCAUCUACUUCUCAGUCCACUACAACUAACAAAUGGGUUGUUUUUAUAAGUAAAACUUCGUGAACAGAUGAGGAUGAUUCUAGCUCUUAUCUUAAUUCCUCUAGCUAACCUAGAAAUUCAUUGUAUACUCUCCUUUUAAUUUACUUAUGUGUACAAACUUUGCUAAUUCCAAGAAUUCCAUGUUUGUCUACUAUUCAUUGCAGAGGGAGACAUUGAUAUUUACCUAAACUGUUGUGUCCAAGAGUUAUUCCUAAUCAUAGUCCUUGUCUCUACUUACUUACCACCUUUUGUGACUUUUUAAUAGAUUGCUAUCUUAUCUCUUAGCAUAGAUGCUACCUACAGAUUUAAUAGAUUUAUCUAAUAGGUUUAAUACAUUUAACCUUUUAAUCUACAGAACUGUAAGUUUUAUUCUUUGAUCAGCAGUCUCAUUUUCCCCAAUGUGACCAAUAAAGUCACUCUAAAGAGGUCACACAGGCUUAUUUGCCACAUUUCAUCUGCAGUCCUGCCCUGUUCCAUCCUGACUCGAAUUUCUUGAGACAAGUAGCCGUGGUCCAGAAAUUGGGCUUCUUUUAUAUAAUUGGUAAACAGUGGCAUUUUUCUGGACAGACUUCCUGGCUCUGACUGCUCGCCAAGUCACUGUCCCCUUCUGAAUGCAGAGCCUAAUACUACUGGUUCUUUGAGCAGCUGUCACCAUGCUUUGUCCUUGGGCCACUGUCCCCCUGCUCAUGUUUGGGCUGAAUUGACAUUUGAGAUGUGGCCUGGCUGGAGGAAUUGGUUAAUAGAUAAAUACUCUUCCGGAGAGUAAAGAACUGACUUAAUCCAGGCCUCUCGUGGAAUGUUCGAAUGUGAAACACAGGAAAGGAAGGGUUGAUAAUAGAGUGGCAUAGAAAAUGAGAGGCAGAUAGAAAGUAGUAAGCGCAAAACAGGAGCAAAUAGAAGCAACAAGGGAGUGAAUAUUAUGAGAUGGAGAGCAAAAUUCUCAGCAACAAAUUCAGGGUCCAAAAGCAAAGAGGCGGAGACCAGGGCAGCCAGCCCAGGAGAAGGUCUAUUUGACUCUUGCUGGGAAUCAGAAACCGGAGUAUCUGGACUCACGUUCCACGGAUCCCCAAAACCCAUUAUGCACCAGCUGAGACCUUUUUCGGUGGCUCCUUACUUCAGGGUGUAUCCCAAAAUUAAGCCCAUGACACCACAGUAACAAAGCUCCUGUCAUGGGCGCUGCUUCUGGUCUGAGAGAGGCCACACAGCCAUUGUUAUCCUAGAUUAAGGAUACCCAUACACGCUGCUCACAUUUUCCACAAUUUAAUGCAAACUUUUUGGGCUUUUGACCCCAAAAUUCUUAUAGGUAAAAAUAUGAAUUUGCAUACUGAAAGUGAAAUCCUUUGGAGCUGAGAGGCCUAGCUGUAAAAAUGCUGAACACGCUAAUCAUAUGGAAAUGUAUUCCUAAGGUCCUAAAAACGUAGCUCUUCUUUUAUUGUAUAACGUGUUGUUCUUCUGUGAAACUUGUACAUUUCUGUUGUAUUUGGAAAACUUUUGUUAGGACAAUGGAAUGAAUGUUGGUAACUACUUUAGGCUCUGUAAGACAGGAAAAAGUUUUCCUCAGGGUCCCAUGCUGGAUCUGAAAAGUAAACUAACAAAGACAGAUGUACAGGAGAAAGCCUACAAAUUUAUUUGCUAUAAGUUUUACUUGACACAGGAGCCUUUAUAAGGAAGUUGAAACGCCAAAGAAACAGACCUGUGUAUCUUUAUGCUAGGUUUGGCGAAGAGUGGACAGUCCUGGAGGAACAUGAUGGGCUAAGGAGCAGGAGGUAAUUGUAAUAAAUGGAGGGAAACUUAGCACGGCCUGUUUGUUAGGAUUCUUCUUCGUAUUCCUUUGUCUCUGGAGAUGAGAUGAGAACGGUCCUUUCCUCUGGGUGUAGGUUGGCCACCUUUCAUGAGGAGUUUGUGACCUGCUUCAGGGAAAAAGGGUGAGGCGGGUGCAGAGGAGGUCAGAGUGACCUUCCUGCUUCUAAUAUCUUCUCAAACUCCUUUGGCUUAAAAUAUUCAAUAUCCCAAGAUGCCAUAUUUUAGGGUAACAUGUCCUGAACCCCAUCAGCUCCCAUAGCAUCCAGUACUUAUCUUUGCCAAUAUGUAUUUUCAAUUAUUUUGUUAGUGCUCAUUAUUGCUGCAAACUCUCUGAAGAUAAGGAACCAAGCCUUCUUGUUCACCAGAGCACAUAGUAGGCAUUCCAUAACUACAAUGCAGUCUAUACAGAAGGCGAAAUAUAAUGAUGUACACCUGAAAUGUACAUAAUAUUAUAAACCAAUGUGACCUCAGUGAAACUUUUUUAAAAAGAGAAAAAAGUAAAGAAUAAAUGCCAUUUUGUUACCUUUAUUUGCAGGUCCUGGUUCAUUAUGUCUUUAGGGUUCUAAUUUAGGGAAACUAAGGACAAACGAGGCACAAAGAUGGGGGACUGCUUCAGGGUGUAAGUUUCCUGUUGGUAGAAAUGCUCUGGACCAUGAAGUCCUUGUCCCUUCAUCAAUUGGACGUAGCCUUUAGCCUCGCCUAAAGAUCCAAAGAGCUUUUCAAACGAAGUGAAGUUUGAGAGCAUUUCGAAGUGAAGUUUUUGCUUGUUUUAUAGUUCUCUGCUACUUGAGCUGCUUGCACUCACACCCAAUAAAUGCACUGUCUCCUCAUAGUUUGAAUUUUGGUAUUUGUACUUGCUCAGCUGACUGCUCCCUGCUGGUGCUAGUUUGCAGUGACGUCUCUGGCCCUAGCUCCUAGCCUACCUGUUCAUAUAGGAGCCUUGCAUAUUCUGGUGUUUUUAUAGCCAUAUUUUCCAAAAGUAGUCCAAAAAAUAAUAACUCUGAGGAAUGUGAAUAGUUGUUAUCAAGGAUCUGUGAUCAAAUGGUUGUCAAAAAGCUGGUCUGAAUGGGAGAUUUAGUAAGAUGAUUUUCCCAACGUGUUUGUCUAUACUUUUUUCUUGAAGCAUAUCAGUGGAACCGCAUAUCAGUGGAAGCUACUUGGAGAAAUACUACUUUAUGGCCUCCUUGGUAGAGUCCAGCCUUUUAUUUUCUAAUAGUAAAC